AACGAACGUUCGCGGCGCGCCUAACACAUGCAAGUCGAGCGAGAAAGGGCUUCGGCCCCGGUACAGCGGCGCACGGGUGAGUAACACGUAGGCAAUCUGCCCCUGAGUGGGGGAUAACCUUCCGAAAAGAGGGCUAAUACCGCAUGAGACCACGACCCCGCGAGGGGAUGAGGUCAAAGCCGGCCACUUCAUGAAAGCUGGCGCUUGGGGAUGAGCCUGCGGCCCAUGAGCUAGUUGGUAGGGUAAUGGCCUACCAAGACAUAGACGGGUAGCUGGUAUGAGAGGAUGAUCAGCCACACUGGAACUGAGACACGGUCCAGACUCCUACGGGAGGCAGCAGUGGGGAAUCUUGCGCAAUGGGCGAAAGCCUGACGCAGCGACGCCGCGUGAGUGAUGAAGACCUUCGGGUUGUAAAGCUCUGUGGAGGGAAACGAAUAAGGCAUGGCUAACAUCCAUGUUGAUGACGGUAUCCCUUUAGCAAGCACCGGUUAACUCUGUGCCAGCCGCCGCGGUAAGAC
rnacentral:rRNA from 1 species